UAGGGAAUCUUCCGCAAUGGGCGAAAGCCUGACGGAGCAACGCCGCGUGAGUGAUGAAGGUCUUCGGAUCGUAAAACUCUGUUAUUAGGGAAGAACAAAUGUGUAAGUAACUAUGCACGUCUUGACGGUACCUAAUCAGAAAGCCACGGCUAACUACGUGCCAGCAGCCGCGGUAAUACGUAGGUGGCAAGCGUUAUCCGGAAUUAUUGGGCGUAAAGCGCGCGUAGGCGGUUUUUUAAGUCUGAUGUGAAAGCCCACGGCUCAACCGUGGAGGGUCAUUGGAAACUGGAAAACUUGAGUGCAGAAGAGGAAAGUGGAAUUCCAUGUGUAGCGGUGAAUUGCGCAGAGAUAUGGAGGAACACCAGUGGCGAAGGCGACUUUCUGGUCUGUAACUGACGCUGAUGUGCGAAAGCGUGGGGAUCAAACAGG
rnacentral:rRNA from 2 species